CGGGGGGUUAUUUUUGGGCGCGGCUUUGCCCGCGGCCUAUUUAUUGCACACGGAGACCGCUCAUAAAGUCUCGUGGCAUUCCGAGUCCGGUGGACGAAGUUGGCCAGCCCCACCCCCCAAGGCUAUAGCCCACCCGUUUUUGGGGCCUUUUUCCGCUGGACGAACUUGGCAUCCCGGCCUUCAGGCGGUUAUUUUUAGGCGCUGCUGUGCCCGCGGCCUAUUUUUGGCACACGGAGGGGCCUCGCAAAGUCUCGCACCAUUCCGAGUCCGGCGGACGAAUUUGGCCAGCCCCACCCCCAAGGCUAUAGCCCACCCGUUUUUGUGCCUUUUUCCGCAGGACGAACUUGGCGCCCCGGCCUUUGGGCGGUUAUUUUUGGGCACGGCUGUGCCCGCAGCCUAUUUUUGGUACACGGAGGGGCCUCGCAACAUCUCGCACCAUUCCGAGUCCGGCGGACGUAGUUGGCCAGCACAACCCCCCAAGGCUAUAGCCCACCCGUUUUUGUGGCCUUUUUCCGCUGGACGAACUUUGGCGCCCCGGCAUUCGGGCGGUUAUUUUUGGGCGCGGCUGUGCCCGUGGCCUAUUUUUGGCACACGGA
rnacentral:lncRNA from 1 species